CCGCUUAGCGAAAUUGUUUGAAAUCUCUUAUAAAUAUUUGCCGAGAAACUUGAUCUGAACCAGUAGUAUGUAAGAUGCGUAUCGUAGUUAUUUACGGCUUUCAAUUAUGGUGGUUGUGUUGUGAUGUCGCUAUUAAAUAAAUUUCUAUCUAGACCGGAAGUCAAAUAAGUCAUUAUGUGUUGAAACCCCCGAGUGAUCAUUUGAGCGGUGCAGAAUAAGGGACUGUGCGCUAGCUGGUGCAUUUUCAACACCGCCUCAAAUAGAGCUCGGGUUUUGUUCAAUAUUCGGAAACUGAUAUGUAGAUCAUGCAACUGAGAACUGAAAAGGCCGAACUUGAUAUACGUGAGAGCACGAACAAAAAUGGAAUUUUUAAUGCAGAGAGAUAGAGAGAUAAAGCAAUAUCAAAUUAUAAAAAAGAACAUAAAACACCAGAAAUAUAUGGCAACAUUACUUCAAGCAACCAAAAAAUCGAAUCAGAAAUAAAAUCUGGUGUUAUGGGGGUGGACAACAUUGGUCGCACAAUUCCCAAGAGAACUCAUCCGUCCGUAUUUGGAGAUUGGCUGUGAAUUUGUUUUAGGAAAGAACAAUGCACGGCUGAACUUGUAUGGCGAAAUUUCGAUUUAUUUUUCAUUUAUACGGUGAAUCUGAGCGGUGUAGCUGCACAGUACCAAGCUUGAUUUUUUGCUGAUGAUACACAAUUGUAUAGUAGUAUUCUUUGCUUCGAUGUCUAACUUUACGUCGACAGUGCCGGAUUUCAUACAAAAUUAUUACAGAUUAAGUUGAUUUCCCAGUCACUCAUGUGUUUUCAGAUGACGACUUAAUAAUUAUUAAAUGUCAAUAAAAAUCAUUAGUCGGCAUUAAUUUUAAAGCGUCUUUAAUAAUCUUUAAAGUUUAAGGAAAUAUUCUCAAGCUCAUGGGCAGCAGUGCAUUUUCACAAGCUUUCCCAAGCAUUCCCUCCUAAGAACUAUUAGCUCAGAAUUAUAAACAUACAAGCAGCGUUAUAAAUUUUGCUCUAAAGACUCAACAUGCCUAAAAGCGCUAAGGCUAGGUAACCGGCUUCCGGAUGGAUUUGGUCCAGAUACAGGGUGUUCGUCCACUUAUUAUAUGAACUUUAAUAUUGAUUUCUAACGUACUAAAAUUAAAAGUGAAAAAAAAAAACAACACUUUCUAUACAUUAAACUGGAAUAGUUCAAUGUUCUUUUAUAUCUAACGCUAUAAUUUUGUGUAACGACCCCAAAUCAAAGUUACUUAGCUUCUAUUUAAAAAAGCAUUUACUUCUUCCUGAGCAAAAUAAUUAAAGUGUAGAGAUUAAGUGUAAAUGUAUAUAUGUGUAAUUUAAGUUACAUAUUUGAUUGUUAUAAUUUUAUGAUUACUUUUACUCGUAAUUUGGAAUGUGUAAAUUGCAUUCACAUGUGGGUUAAGUGUGAGUGGUUCCAUUUACAGCCAGACUUCGCCCAUGUAAUGUUAAUAGGGAAUAAAUAUAUAAAUAAAUAAAUAAUAUCGAAAAUGGAGCGGAUCCAACGUACAGAAUAAUUAACGCGGAGAAUUUCGACGAUGACAAAACCGGACCAUGCUCGCUGUAUUCAGAAGAAAACUGCCCAUGUGUGCUUUGAUUAAUUCUGCCCUUUUAUACAAUUGGUUGCAUUCAAAGAUUUAAAAAACAAACAAAAACACAUUUACAUGAACAUAUAAAGGACGCUGAUGCCAGGGUAUGAAUACAAAAUGCGAAACUGCAAUCUAAUAAUAGUAUAUUAUGCAACAAGUGCGAUAAACGGCAUUUGACUCACGAGUUUUUCAUAAACGAGUAACAUCAUUUCAAGGGUUUCCAAGAAACGCUGACUUCAAGUAAGGUGUGCGUUACUAGGAUUUGCCGAAAACCAAAAACCGAAGUUUAUAGAACACGAUGGAUUUAAAUUUUUCAAACGAGAUGUUUUUCCAAAAAUAUUUAAUGUCGAAGUUUUUAGACCACAAAAAUCAAGGUGAUGCCGUUAUCUGAAUUUGGCUAUGGAAUGUUAAGUGUUUCAUGUUUAGUUCUUCAGAUUCAUAAUCUCGAAGAAGUCCUUGAAAAUAUCUUAAAUUGUUUCUCCUGAAAUUAGAAUAGACAUUAAAAAUGUGGUUUCAUUAAACUCUUACUUUUUCCAAAAACUCACUUUUAUAACGCAUUAUGAGUGAAAGUUUUUUCAAGCAUUCUCGAAAAAUGUUUGCGUAAAAAGCUUUAAAAUAAAGAUAUUUCAUAUGAAAUUAAAGCAA